UCGGGUGUGGUGCACGGUGCACCGCUGCACUUUGGGGUUGGAUUUUGAAGUAAAAGCAGUGAGUCGGGGUUCGAUUCCUCGCACCCGAA